AUUGAACGCUGGCGGCAGGCCUAACACAUGCAAGUCGAGCGGUAGAGAGAAGCUUGCUUCGCUUGAGAGCGGCGGACGGGUGAGUAAUGCCUAGGAAUCUGCCUGGUAGUGGGGGAUAACGUUCGGAAACGAACGCUAAUACCGCAUACGUCCUACGGGAGAAAGCAGGGGACCUUCGGGCCUUGCGCUAUCAGAUGAGCCUAGGUCGGAUUAGCUAGUUGGUGGGGUAAUGGCUCACCAAGGCGACGAUCCGUAACUGGUCUGAGAGGAUGAUCAGUCACACUGGAACUGAGACACGGUCCAGACUAAUACGGGAGGCAGCAGUGGGGAAUAUUGGACAAUGGGCGAAAGCCUGAUCCAGCCAUGCCGCGUGUGUGAAGAAGGUCUUCGGAUUGUAAAGCACUUUAAGUUGGGAGGAAGGGCAUUAACCUAAUACGUUAGUGUUUUGACGUUACCGACAGAAUAAGCACCGGCUAACUCUGUGCCAGCAGCCGCGGUAAUACAGAGGGUGCAAGCGUUAAUCGGAAUUACUGGGCGUAAAGCGCGCGUAGGUGGUUCGUUAAGUUGGAUGUGAAAGCCCCGGGCUCAACCUGGGAACUGCAUCCAAAACUGACAAGCUAGAGUAUGGUAGAGGGUGGUGGAAUUUCCUGUGUAGCGGUGAAAUGCGUAGAUAUAGGAAGGAACACCAGUGGCGAAGGCGACCACCUGGACUAAUACUGACACUGAGGUGCGAAAGCUGGGGGAGCAAACAGGAUUAGAUACCCUGGUAGUCCACGCCGUAAACGAUGUCAACUAGCCGUUGGAAGCCUUGAGCUCUUAGUGGCGCAGCUAACGCAUUAAGUUGACCGCCUGGGGAGUACGGCCGCAAGGUUAAAACUCAAAUGAAUUGACGGGGGCCCGCACAAGCGGUGGAGCAUGUGGUUUAAUUCGAAGCAACGCGAAGAACCUUACCAGGCCUUGACAUCCAAUGAACUUUCUAGAGAUGGAUUGGUGCCUUCGGGACAUUGAGACAGGUGCUGCAUGGCUGUCGUCAGCUCGUGUCGUGAGAUGUUGGGUUAAGUCCCGUAACGAGCGCAACCCUUGUCCUUAGUUACCAGCACGUAAUGGUGGGCACUCUAAGGAGACUGCCGGU
rnacentral:rRNA from 1 species